GCCGGCGGUUCCCGACAGGGCUGCGGUGCAAGCUUUUUCUUGCCUCGGCUAUCGUCGCUGUCGUCCCGGAUGCCAUAGCCGCCGCCCCUCCGUCCCUGUCCAGUCACUUAGGAGCCCUUCGGGUCGGCGGUGUCUGGAGAGCAAGCAAGGAAGCGAGGGAAUUAGGAAGGGGCAUCUUACCUUUUCCCCGCGACUUCCCGCGCGACGCGCCGUGAUGACGUAGCGCGGGCGGGCUGGUUGUGGCUGGGCCGAGAGCGAGGUUGCCACUGGACGUUGGUGGUGGCGGCCAAAAUAGGCGUGGUGACGAUGCUAAAUGUGAGGAUUUUCCGAGUUAAUAUUCACUAUGGUGGUACACAGGAAACACUGGCCGAAUAUUAGCUAUUAAUAUUCUGCCGCAAUAUUCUGAGUGGAAGGAGUCUUAGUGGGGGCAGGGAAUGGUAAUGAUAGCAAGUAUUAUGUGACAGGCAUCGUUGUAAACCACAAUUCUAUGAGGUAGUUCCCAUUAUUAAGGCUGCUUUGCAGAUAAGGAAACUGAGGUUACGGGACUUAACCAUGUGACUUUGGGCAAGUUGCUGAACAGUUCUGUGCUCCGUUUCCUCAUCUGGAAAGUUGUGAUAAUAAUAGUGCCCAGGGCCAGAAUGGCCUUGAGGAUGGGAGUUCUCAUGGGCAGCAGCUCUCCCUAUCUGCCCCCUCCAACGGGUAACCACUGCUCCCAAGCAGUAAUAGAAAGUGUGUGUGCGUCUGGGGAGCUGUCCCUAGGCACCCCCUCUCCCCCGCAACUCCCACUCCAUGUCUAAAUGUCAGCUCUGCAGGAGGCCGGUUUGUCCUCCUAAUCUCCCUGUCUCAUUCUCCACCAUUUCCUACCGGGCUAUAAGCUGGGACCGGAGAGAUAAGCAGUCCGGGGGUUCUGCAUCAGACUGACAGAUUGACGGUCUCACCGCCCAGUAGCUUUGCCCUCUGAUCCUCUUGAAGAUGUCCUGCCGCCUCUUCCCUCUCACCCCUCCUACGUGAACCUAUCUUUUGUCUCAGCGCAAAAGAGUUGCAGACCUAAGACCUUUAAACCCCUACACUCACCAAAGAAAACACAUACAAUGAUAACACACUACAAAAAAAUUCUAGAGUUCUGAUACCUGCAGCCUGAUAGAGUAGGGAGUCUUGCAAAGGGUCAAGGCCCAUUUUUCUGUUGGAUCAGAAGAGAGGUUUCUGAAGAGCAGGGGUCAGCAAACUUUAUAAAGGGACAGAGAGUAAACAUCUUAGGCUUUGCAGGCCACAUACGGUCUCAGUGGCAUUUUUCUUUUUUUCUCUUUUUAAAAAACAACCCUUUAAAAAUGUAAAACAGCCCACAGUCUGGCUUUGGCUUGAAUGCCAUAGUUUGCCGAUCUGUGCUGUAGUGUCAGGCCUUGGUCUCUAUCUGGCUGGUAUUCUUUUGCAGGAUUGAGGGUAGGGGCCUUUUUUCCUAAGGAGAGGUAUUCCUUUUGUGUGAGGUGUGUGAGGACAGGGAUUCAUGGGCAGGGUCAGGUCACUUCUAGUGUACCUCUGGUGGGUCAUUCCAAAUGUUCCUGGACAGAAUGAGGACAGGGAUUCCUAUGGUUUCUAUAUUGUACCUUUACUGAAUCAAGCAGGGGUUUCUAGAGAGCUCCAGACUAUGGGUUCCUGUUCCUGUGCAAGUUAAGGAUUAAGGUUUUGUUUUUUUGUUUUUUUGUUUUUGUUUUUUGAUACAGGGGACAGGGUCUCACUCUGUUGCCUAGGCUGGAGUGCAGUGGUGUGAACACGGCUCACUGCUGCUUCAACCUCUUGGGCUCAAGCUGUCUUCCUACCUCAGCCUCCCAAGUAGCUGGGACUACAAGUGCAUGCCACCAUGCCUGCCUAAUUUUUUUUUCUUUAUAGAGAUGGGGUCUCGCCAUGUUGCCCAAGCUGGUCUCAAACUCCUGGACUCAAGCAAUCUGCCUGCUUCAGCUUCCCAAAGUGCUGGGAUUACAGGUGUGAGCCACCAUUCGUGGCCAGGAUGGGGCUUCUUAGACCUAUGUUAUGACAGCUUCCUACAAAGAGAUCAGGUGGGCCAGUACUGGGUCACAGGUGUUUCUGUAUAGGUUCAGAGCUUGUGUUCAUAUAGACAGUGAGAUCAGGUGUCUAGAUUUCGGUCAAGAGAUUAUUAUUGGCCAGGCAGAAUGGCUCACACUUGUAAUCCCAGCACUUUGGGAGGCAGAGGAGGGCAGAUUGCUUGAGCUCAGGAGUUUGAGACCAGCUGGGCAACAUUACAAAACCCCAUCUCAAUAAAAAACACAAAAAUUAGCUGGGUGUGGUGGUGUGCAUCUGUAGUCCCAGCUACUCGGGAGGCUGAGGUGUGAGGAUCGCUUGAGCCUGGGAGGGGAGGCAGAGGUUGCAGUGAGCCGAGAUUGUGCCACUGUACUCCAUCCUGGGUAAUAGAGUGAGAUCCUGUCUCAAAAAAAAAAAAAAAAAAUUACUGGCCAGGCGUGGUGGCUCACGCCUGUAAUCUCAGCACUUUGGGAGGCCUAGGUGGGCAGAUAAUUUGAGGUCAGGAAUUUGAGACCAGCUUGGCCAACAUGGUGAAAUCCCAUCUUUACCAAAACUACAAAAAUUAGCCGGGCUAAUACACCUGUAAUCCCAGCUACUCAGGAGGCUGAGGCAGGAGAAUCUGGGAGGCGGAGGUUGCAGUGAACCAAGAUUGCACCACUGCACUCCAGCCUGGGCGACUCCAUCUCAAAAAAAAAAAAAAAAAAAAAAAAGGAGAGAGAGAGAGGGGGAGAGAUUAUUAUUAAUUAGGCUAAAUUAUCCUAGCUGCUGUAACCCAGAAUUUCAGGGGCUUAACGAAUAAAUGUUUAUUUCUUGCUCAUUCAAAAGCCAAUCUGAAUAUUUACUACUGUUCAUUCAUGGACCCAGGCAAACUCUAUUUUGUGACUCUGUCCUCCUCUAGGUCCUUGGAGUUAGUUGGUUUUCAGUUGGUAGACAGGGAAAGAGAGGAAAUGGAGGAUUGCAUGAGAGAUUUUUAUGGGUCAGGCCUGGAACUGGUAUAUGUCACUUUUGCCCAUACUCCAUUGGUCAGAACUCUGUCAUGUGCCCACAUCUAUCUGCAGAGGAGGCUGGAAUAGGUAGAGUGAGCUCAGGAAGAACAGGAACAGGUCUCAAUGAGCUUAUAGCAGUGUCUGCUAUAGGGUUCCGUAGACUCCACAGACCUAUGCUGUCCUAUAUGGUAGCUACCAGCCACGUGUGGCUACUGCUCUUGAAAUGUGGCCAGUCUAACUUGAGAUGAUGUGCUAUAAAUGUGAAAUGUACACCAGAUCACAAAACUCAGUAUAAAAAGUUUAAAAUAGCUCAGUAAUUUUUAUAUUGAUUACAUGUUAAAAUAAUAUUUGAAUAUAUUGGGUAAAGUUAAGUAUAUUGAUGUUAUUGAAAAUAAUUUUAUCUUUUUUUUCUCUUUUUAAUGUGGCUACAUUGAAAAUAUAAAAUUACCCGUGUGACUCACAUAUUUCUAUUGGACAGCACUGCUAUAGAAAUUUCUCUUUAAAGCAUUGAGACAGGGACUCUUACUGUGUAGGGGUAGGAGCAUCUCUGGGUCAGGUUAGUGUUUCCUGUCUGGGGUCAGGAGAAUGAUUCUGUUACCUGGUAAGGCAGGUUUGCAGGGAAAUACAAAGGUUGGAGACAUUGUAAAGUGAGAGGGAAAACUGUGAAGGCAUUUUUUCCCAUACAGAUUAAGGUUAGGUGUUCCUUUUGAGGCCAGGAGAGUGGUUUUCUGUAGACGGCCAGGCCAGAGGAUCACAGCGUACUCAGGCCAGGUAUUUCUGUCCAGGAUCAGAGCUGUGUUACUAGAGACAGACAGAUCAGGUGAUUCCAUUGGGGGUUAGGUCAGGGGUUCCUGUACAGUCUCCAGGCAGGUAUUCAUGGUGAUUCUGAUUAUGGGUUGUUUAACAAGUACAGAACAGAGGUUCUUGUACAGUGUAGAGGUUUUUUAUACUGGUUCAUUCUUUGGAUUACUCUAAAGAGGCAAAUCAAAGGUUCCUGUUGAGUGUAAGGGCAGGAUUUUCUGUGCUAGCUCAGGGCACAGGUUCCUGCUGGGGGUAAUAGAGGUUCCUGUGCGGGUUCAGGACAAAGAUCCUCUGUGUAGUUAGGACACUGCCCCUUCAGAGAUUCAGGUCGGUGUUUCUUUGUUGGGUCAGGGCAGUGGUUCCUGUACAGGGUGCAGGUGGGGCUUCUGGGACAAGGCCAGGGAAAAGGCUGUUAUAGAGAAUCACAUUAAGCUUCCUGUUCAGGGUAAGCAGUGUAUUUCCAGAGAGUAAAGCUAGGAGUUCCUAUAAAGAUCAGAGAUUCCUGUAAAUUACAGAGAUUCCUGUAAAUAAAUUACUGUAAAAGUAAAGGAUUUCUGUUGAGGUUCAGGACAAAGGCUUUCUGCAGAGACCAGUCAGAAGUCCUGGAACAGUUUUAGGGUCAGGCUUCCUGUAGAGCAGCGGUCCCCAACCUUUUUGGCACCAGGGACCGGUUUCGUGGAAGACAGUCUUUCCACGGAUGGUGGGGGAUGGUUUGGGGAUGAAACUGUUCCACCUCAGCUCAUCAGGCAGUAGUUAGAUUCUCAUAAGGAGCACGCAACCUAGAUUCCUUGCAUGCACAGUUCACAAUAAGGUUCGUGCUCCUAUGAGAAUCUAAUGCCACUGCUGAUCUGACAGGAGGCGGAGCUUAGGUGGUAAUGCUUGCUUGCCUGCUGCCCACCUCCUGCUGUGUGGACCAAUUCCUAAUAGGCCAUGGACCAGUACCAGUCCGUGUCCUGGGGGUUGGGAACCCCUGCUGUAGAGGGUCAGGGUAGUGGAGCUAAUACAAGGUAAGGCCCAGGAGCCUCGUGCAGCAUCAAUAAAUGCGACCUAUAUAGUGAGAAGGGGGGGUCCUGUAUCAGGUGAGGCCAUAGGUGCCUGUAUAGGCUGAGGUCAGGGCUUAAAGUAAAUGGUCAAGACAGGCAUUCCUGCCAUAAGGUCAGGAAGUGGUUUUCUAUACAAGUUAAAGACUGAGGUUCAUGUUGAGAGUUGGAUCAUGGGUUCCUGUGGACUCUAUGGGAUAGGGUGUGAGGUCAUGGAUUGUUGUGCAGGGCAACAUCAGGGAUCAUUGUCAACAAUGAAGGCAAGAGGUUCCACACACAGUCAGGGUCCUUGAAGAGGUUGAGGACAGGGAUUUCUGUAAAGACAGAGCUGGGUCCAUGGUUUACUACUCAGAUUAUUGUGAGUGAGGUGUUUUUAAAAUGCUACCUGGAGGACAGGACUGCAGCAGUGUGAGUACAAAGGUGUUCCUGUCUGAGGUCAAGACAGGAUUCGUAUAGGGAGACUGAGGCUUGUGUGGAUGGUCAGGACAAGGGUUCCUGUCCAGGGUGUGCAGGGGCUUCCUUACAGCUUAGUCCAGAUGUCCCUAGCUGGGGUUAGGCAGAGGUUCCUCCUAUUCAGGGUAAGCGCUGGCAUUCCUGUACAGGAUCAGGAUGGGUUUCCUGUCGAUAAUUAGAUGAAGGGCUCCCCUAGAGCUUCAGAGCUAGUCUUCUGUACCAGGCUGGGGGAGCUAUACUUAUGGGGGUGAGGCCCGGGGCUCCUGAACAAGGUGGGGCCAGACAUGUGUCCAGCACAGGUUCUGAAGGGGGUUUUUAGAGGAUGGGGCCUCCUGCAGGGUGUGAGGGCUGGGCUUCUGAGGGGAGGCCAGACACGUGUCUUUUAUGGGAUCAGGGCUGUUGUGGACAAUGCCCACAGUGAGCAUAAUAGACUCCUGUGAUUCUGCAGCAGGCUACUUAGUGGAGCUGGAAUGCCCGCUAGCUGAUGGGCUGGUGUUCUGUGGAGGACAGCUGCUUACCUAUAAUAUGGUCAGGACCUGUGGGUCCCUGCAACCCCCAUAUCCGGGGCUCUAGGGAAGAAGCCAUAAAGAGCGGUUAAGUGUGAGCAGCACUUAUUUGCUGGGCUGGGUGUGUCACCCCAUCCAAAAUCCACUCCUUAAACUUGGUGGUCAGGGUAAGUUACUCAUCAGUUCUGGGCCUCACUCUUCCAUUAGUGAAAUGAGUAUGGGUAUAUUUUCCUCAGAAUAUUUAUUUCAGGCACUAAUGAACUAAAGCAACUGGAGCCUCCCAGCCUGCCGCCUGACCCACAGUGAGCCCUUAGGAAAGGGUGCUGCUGGCUGUGGGGUGUGGCUGAGCACAUGGACACCAGGCCAGACUGCCCCGCUGGGCCCCUUGCCACUGGCUGUGUGGCCUCCAUUGAGCCACUUAAGCAGUCUGCCUUAGGAUGCUUAAGGCAUGACUCAGAUUAUGCUCCUGUGUGUUUGUGAAAUUGAGGAACAGACUCCGCUGUGGGGGGAGCAGUUCACCCAGGGCUGCAGGCUGAGCUGGGCUGAGCAAGAUAAGACCAGUCCGACAGGAAGACCCACGGACAACCCUGCGCCCCAGCACUGGCCUCUGACCUUGCCAGCUACCAUUCCAGCUCCACCCUUCUCCGUGUUCCUUUCCUGAAUGUGUCUUUUGUCCCUUGGAAGAGAGUCCCUAACUUAUACCCUCUGAAACUCUGCUGUUGAGACCUCCACAAACAAAUGUACACAGAGCUGCUCAUGUUGUCAGCCACUCAGAGACACUGUGACAUGGCACAUGCCACACGUAAUGCACACACACGCACACCCAUGCCCAUGCACAGGGACUUGCACUGAAAUAUUGCCAUCGCCAGACCCACAAACACAUCCUGACACACACUUCUUGUUCAACAUUCCAAGAAUCUUUACCAGAUUCUGUGCCCACCACGUAUGCUGUCAUGCUGUCUAAAAGGUCCCCCAGCGUCAUGCCGUCUCAAAGGUCCCCCAGCGUCAUGCCCAGCCACAAGACCACAGCCCCGCACACCUCCUUAUCACCUGCUCCAGCACACACACUUCCAGUGUGCUUAUAGUCACCCGGCACCACCCCCACCGUCAGCAAGCCCUGCGUGGCCUCUUACCAUGACAUAUGGAACCACCUGGACACUUCACAAGAAGUUUCACAUAGAUUGUUCCAAUCACACAACAUAACCCUUGGUCACAAAGUGUCACAUGUGCCGCCUCAGCCAGCCUCACAUGGUCACACAUUGCAGCCAUGCACUGUCAUCAGAGAGCCACAGGCAUUGUUACACACUCCACUCAGCUCUGCUGUUCAGCCACACAUAGACACACCCACAAUUUCAGGACUUUGGUGGUUUUAUUUUACAAAAGCUUUGAAGGUUCAAGCCAGGGGGUGCCUGGGGCCCAGAGACUUGGGUUGUCCAGAAUUCUGGCUACAAGAGGAGAAGGACACCACCCCUCCUCUGGAGGCCAUGCUCUGUGCCCUCAUGAGCUGAGCGGAGCCACCACAGUAGUGCUGGUGGUGGGGGGCAUGGGGCCUGUGGGGAAGGAGCCCGUGGGUGAGCCCAGUAGGGGUCCAGGGAAAGGCAUGAGGUGGCUAACAGGCCCUGACAGCACCACAGGGCCCAGGCCUUGGUAGAGAUGGGCAGUACCUGGGGGGCCCAG
rnacentral:lncRNA from 1 species